rnacentral:lncRNA from 1 species
CAGGUUUAAAAUGCUGUGGCUGCUGAGAACAAUGUGCCUUAUUCAUGUACUUGGAAAAAUAUUUUGUUCAUUUGGAACAAACAAGUAUUCUGAAGGUCACAUAAAUGUUAGUGAGAUUAUUAAACACUGGGGAUAACCAAGCGAAGAAUAUGAGUUUGUGACUGAUGAUGGCUACUUUCUUCCAAUUAACCGAAUUCCUCAUGGGAAGAACAAUGCUAAUAGUCCAGCCCCAAAGAUGGUAGUAUUUUGUCAGCAUGGCUUGCUUGCAACUCCUGGUGCAUGGGUUUCCAAUCUGCCUGACAACAGCCUGGCCUUCAUCCUAGCAGAUGCUGGGUAUGAUGUGUGGAUGGGAAGCAGCAGAGGAAGUACCUGGGCAAAGAAACACAUGACUCUAAACCCAGAUUCUAAAGAAUUCUGGGAUUUUAGUUUUGAUCAAAUGAUAAAAUAUGACCUUCCUGCCACCAUUAAUUUCAUUCUGGAGAAAACAGGACAGAAGCCUAUUUACUAUAUUGGCCAUUCUCAAGGAACCCUUAUUGGUAUGCAAAAAAGGAUGUACAUACUAUUUGAUAUAUUUUAACCAUUAUUAAAAUGGUUGAAAAUUAUAUUUUGUUUAAGCUGUUAUAAAAUAAAUUUAUAUUUUCUACGUCCUUUAUAUACUUAUUCAUAUGUCAUAGAACUCUCUAGGACUUUAAUUUAGUAACUAUUGAUCAGACAAUACAUAUCAUUAAGCUAGAAAAUGCACUGGGUUUAUAUGGGCUUAUGUGUCAUUACUUUAGAAAGAGGAAAUAGAACUCAAUAAAUGUUGGUUCUAUCAUAAUCUAAGGCUGUGUAAGUAGUGGUAUGUUUUUUCUGUAUGUACGGUAAAAAGAAGUGGUAUACUUCAGGCUUAUGAUUGAGGAAGUCCAUCUCUGAAUAUGCAACACUACAAUCAGACUACUCCUCCUGUAUACAAUAUGGAAGACAUGAAGGUUCCAACUGCAAUGUUUACUGGUUUAAAAGAUGUUGUGUCUGACCCAGAAAAUGUUGAAAUUUUGAAACUCAAAAUCCACAACCUCACAUACCUUAAGACUAUUCCUGAUUUUAUCCAUUUUGAUUUUAUAUGGGGAUUAAAUGCUAGGGAAGAGGUUUCUGAGGAAAUUUUAACAAUUCUUAGGAAAUAUGAAGGUGAUGUUCAGCUUUAGCUUUUUGCAUGAUUUUAAACCUUUUUGAAAGUCUCUUGUUCUUAUAAAUGCAAAUAUUUUCUUGCUUGGCAUUUUAUCUCCUUACUUAUUUUUUAAUUUUUUAAGCAGCUGUUUCCGUUGUUGAAUCAUUUGUUUUAGUGAAAACUAUGACCAUCAAGGGAAUGUAUCAUUUUGUGACUGCUUUUUAAAUUAAUCUAAAUAUAUUUUUGACAUGAUUAUUCCUGAAGAAAAGACCUUUUAAUUUGUAGUAAUGAAAUUCUAAAAUACUGAUAAAGGAAGAGGCCUGGCCCAUACUGUGCUAUCAGACAUGAUGCUGUCUGAAGAACAGAUUAUAACACAUUUCAUAAAUUAGAACCCAGUCUCAAGAAGAACAGUCAAUCUUGUUGCUUUGAUUCCUCAAGUCUUAGUCACUAGUCUCAUUGCAAACCUCCCUGUCACAACAUCUGUGUGGACCAGACACUGAGUAAGUCACUUAUGUCAGUGUUCUCUGGCUUGAGAGAAGAAUAAUUAUGUAAAAUGAUCUGAGUUAUUAAAAAUAAAUAACAGGAUUGACCGUUCAUUGAAGCCCUUGAAUAAUAUGGUAUUUUAAAUUCUUCUUGCAUCACAGAUUGAACAUAAAUUAAAACACACAAUUUUAAUUUUAUUAUUAAAUUUUAACUUAUUUAGAUGUUUAAAGCAACAAGUAAUAAUUAUGUGAAGAGUUUGGACAAUAUAGAGAGUAACCAUGGCCAGUCUCAAAUAUAUAUUUUUACAAUAUUUUACAUGAUCAAAAAGAUAUAUGUGUGUGAUUGCAUGUGUGAACAUGUACACGUGUGUUAUGUUCCUUGUAGUUCAAGUUUGUGUAGGAUGCUUACUUGAUUAAAUGUUGGACUUCUGCGAGUGGCCUUUCCCCAUCUAUUGAUGUUCACAUGAUUACUGUCUUUCGUCCAUUUAUGGGAUCAAGCAUUGCACUUAUUAGCUUGGAAUAUGUCAAAUCUUCCUUGUAAUAUUUCUGGAAUAAAGCCAACUUAUUAAUG